rnacentral:rRNA from 1 species
CUACGGGGGGCUCCAGUGGGGAAUAUUGGACAAUGGGCGCAAGCCUGAUCCAGCAAUGCCGCGUGAGUGAAGACGGCCUUAGGGUUGUAAAACUCUUUCGCUAGGGAAGAUAAUGACUGUACCUAGUAAAGAAGUCCCGGCUAACUCCGUGCCAGCAGCCGCGGUAAUACGGAGGGGACUAGCGUUGUUCGGAAUUACUGGGCGUAAAGAGUUCGUAGGCGGACUGACAAGUUAGAGGUGAAAUCCCAGGGCUCAACCCUGGAACUGCCUUUAAAACUGUCAGUCUAGAGACCGGAAGAGGUUAGGGGAAUACCUAGUGUAGAGGUGAAAUUCGUAGAUAUUAGGUGGAACACCAGUGGCGAAGGCGCCUAACUGGUCCGGUACUGACGCUGAGGAACGAAAGCGUGGGGAGCAAAUAGGAUUAGAUACCCGCGUAGUC